UAAAGGAGACGCAUCAUAAUCGGGCCUAGUCUCACCCAAAGAAAUAUGCGGAUUGAUAUAGCUUUAAGAGGACGAGGUUUUGGGUCCUUGUCGUGGUUGAGUCACCCAGAGACUCAUCGGAGGCCGCCAAACCAUCCACGGACUCGGUUUGUCCAGCGGGAGAAGAAGGCGUAAAGGGCGCGUGUCAACUGCAGUGACCCCACCGGACUCACGGUCAUGCACCGGUGCUUCUGAGCGUGUUCUCCGAACCAGAGGAGCUGCAGCUGGCACAACACGCGAGUCUGAGAAUGCCACCCGCAUGGAAAAACCUGCAGGUCUACCUUGUGAACGCAGAGGAGCUGCAGGAUCACACUCCUGAAACUCGCCUGUCAUGCAAGAGAGGAGACAGGUGCUUUGGAAGGAAAUAGCAAAAUUGCAGAUCCAGAUGCAGCUCUCAGCGAUGACCCUCCAUUCAGUGACAACCCAGAUGACCUCAUGUAUCAGCCCAAGACAAAGAUGUAGCCUGAGCUAACUGCCCUUAGUCAUGAAUGCUUAUUUUACAAUACUUCCAGCAUGAUGAAUGUUGAAGUGAUAGUUUUUUGAUUUUUGAUUGGAACUCCAGGAAAAAAUCAAGGCAAAGUGUAUCACCACAAAAAUAAGUCACAAAAGAGGAGCCAGAGGAGACGAAAGAAAAUGGAAUCAAAGAGGAAGAAUCAAGUAAAAGUGUAACACAGAUUGAAGCUAGAGCGGGUUUAAGGCAGGGCAUUGACCUGUGUGAUCACCUGCUCUCUGACUAAAUCUGCUUCAACAUCUUUAAGGAAGUUAACAUUGCUGAUAUGUGUUUUGUUUCCCUAUGACAAAAAUAGGUUGAGUUAUGAAGGUCUGCCAUCCUGUCAGUUGUAACCAUGACAACGCCAAAUAUUUGUAAAGACACUGUCUGAAUUUUUGUGAUGAUAUAAAAUGGAUAUAUUCUUGAAAGAGUUUUUUUUUUAAUCUUUGACCCUUUUUUUCCAAGGUUUGAGGCUUGAUGAUGAUGUUGAAAUGAAAGGUUUCAAAGGUUCAUGUGACCUGUUAUGACAAACAUUAAUAUAUUUUGAACUCACUGACCCCAUUUCUGUCUUUAUUGCAGCAUCAUAUAAAAUACCAGCAUUUAAAAAAGCAGUAUGUGUAGAUGUGGAAGAUUGUUUCGUCUGCAAAAGCAGCUGUUGCGACAUGCAAAACACCACACAGGGACUACAUCUGUGAGUUUUGUGCUUGUGCCUUCAAGAGCUCCCAUAACCACACUGUACACAGAAUGAUUCAUACAGGAGAGAAACCUAUACAGUGUGAGAUCUGUGGCUUUACAUGUCGUCAGAAGGCCUCCUUGAACUGAAGAUAAAGGAGAACCAGGUAACUUCGAGUGACACACUGACUACACUGCAGCGGGUGGUGAACCCGCU